rnacentral:lncRNA from 1 species
CCACUAUCAAGUAGACUUUAUUCCUGGGAUACAAGGUUGGUUCAACAUAUACAAAUUAAUAAAUGUGAUUCAUUACAUAAACAGAAGUAAAAACAAAAACCACAUGAUUAUCUCAAUACAUGCAGAAACGGCUUUUGCUUAAAUUCAACAUCCCUUCAUGUUAAAAACCCUCAAUGAACUAGGCAUUGAAGAAACACACCUCAAAAUAGUAAGAUCCAUCUAUGACAAACCCAUAGCCAACACCAUACUGAAUAGGCAAAAGCUAGAAGCAUUCCUCUUGUGAACUGGAACAAGACAAGGAUGCCCACUUUUACCACCCUUAUUCAACACAGUUCUGGAAGUCUUAGCCAGAGCAAUUGGGCAAGAGAAAGAAAUAAAAGGCAUCCAGAUAGGAAGAGAGGAAGUCAAACUAUCUGUCCUCAUAGACAAUAUGAUUCUAUAUCUAGAAAAUCCCAUAGUCUCUGCCCAAAGGCUCCUAGAACUUAUGACUAACAUUUCUAUGACUUGAAUUUUUUGCCUAUUGUUUAUCCAAAUACUCAUGUUCCAUUUUGAAAUAUUUUCUUAGCAUAGGUUUACAGUAAUGGAGUUAUAUGGCUCAAAGGACAUAACUAUUUUUUAGACUCUUGAUCCAUAUUGCCACAUUUUGUUCUGAAAAAGCUAUCCUAAUUUAGUGCCACCAGCUGUAUCAAUUAGUACGACUUUCACAAUACUCUUUCUACAAUUGGGUGCUGUCAUGUUAUAAAUUUAGCUAAUUUAAUAAUAAUUUAAUAUGCUAUAACAAAUGUUAUUUCACUAUAGUUUUUUCCCUGAUUAGUAGAAUGGUUAUUUUUCCAUUAUUUGUUUCUGGUUCAUCUUUUAUAAAUUAUCUAUUAAAAUAUUUUCUCCCUUUUGCAAUACUAUGUAUCUUAAUAGCAUAUUUUUAAAUCAAUUUGGGUGAGUUCUUUAUAGAAUGAAGACAUUAACAUUGUUAUAUUUACUCCAAUUGUUUUUUUUUUUUGGUCCUGUUCUUUUAUUUUGGUUAUCUUUGACUUAGAGAAGUUUUGAAAUUUAAUACAGCUAAUUCUGUCUACUUUUUAUAAAUGCUUAAGUUUAAAAAGUUGCCUAACCAAAAGAAAUAGAAAGGAAAGAAAGGAGAAAAUUUUCCUAUUGUCUGAGGUUGGUAAAUGUUACAUUUGUUCUUGUCUUCAGGCCUAGCCAUUGUGUUAGCUAGAUGAAUAUGCUCAACGGUCACAGCCAGCUCUCCUCAAGGAGGAAGCCGUAUGAGACAGGAUCAAUGCAUGAGUAGAGAGCUCAACUCUGAAGAGAAGAGCACCUCUUUCUCUGGGUUUAGAUGAACAAGGAUUUGGAUAAAUUGUGUAUUGAGGCAGAAGGCUGAGGUAGUGCCAUCUAGAGAGUGAGGGGAGGGAGAAUGGGUGUGAUAGGACAUCCUUGCCGAAUUUCUUUAUUAUAGACCCAAGCUCUCUUAACACUCACCAUGCAAUUACUAGUGUUUUCCCCCCUUGGAAAUAAACUGGGACUGUUAACUGUUGUUCUAGACUAAGACAUAUCAAGACUUUCCCGGGCUUUUAUCAAAAUGAGAAAAUUUACAUAAUUGACACAAAAGGGACUUGUAAACUGUUAAUAAUACCUGUAAAAUUCCUUUUAGAAUUCUAUAUAAAAAUUGUUUCUAUUGGCUCCUUACUGCUGCUACUAAAGAAGAAGAGCUUGACUGUUUAACCCUUCACAAACUUAUAGGAUUAAAAGUAGCUGGUCUCAUUGCUAAUCACUUCUGCACUAGUAGUGCAGAAGUACAAGUAAAAGAGCAGAUCUGGAUCUGGACCUCCUUGAAAACCACAUCCGGAGUUUGCAACCAGGUCCAGAUCCAGAUUUGCUCUUUUAUAUAAAGAAAAAAAUAAGCAAGAGAAGUGAAACCAGCGUAGUGGCAUCCAAAUAUUGUAUAAUUCUUUUUCAAUCUCUUAAAAUGCAUCAUCAUCAUACUUGCAUAUAGUUCUAUAAAGCCUCUGCAUAAAAUAGGAGCCCCUUGCAACAUCCCAGGUCACCAGCCAUUUUUACUCCUCAGAGACAACUAUUUUCAAUUUUUAAAAUUAUUUCUUAAUGUUUACCUUAUAUCUCUAAAUAAAAAAGUAUCUUUUAUGAUACUUUUUGAUUGUCAUUAAGUUUUAUGCAUUAUCUACUAAUAUCCCUUUAUGGAACAUGAGAAUUUAUUUUAUUCUCCACAUACAUGAAUUCCUUUACUCUCAUCCUUCCAGUAUAAUUAUAUGAUAAUUUGGGGCUAGAUCAAUUAUGUUUUACAUUUCCGUAACUAUGUAGAUAUGAUAAAUGGCUGACUCAUAUAGUAUAGUAUAGUUACAUUUACUUUCUUGUAUAAAAGGUUUCAGUUCUUUCUGGAGUUAUUAGCUUUUUCCACUUGCACAGCUUUCUAGGUACCUAACUCACCCAUCCCUUAACUCUGUUACAAAAGUGUAUGUCUCCCUUUAGUAAGGUUCAAACACAAUGAGCACUUCAUCGCCUUCAUCUUCUUGGAUGGAGACUGUUCAUUCUGUGAGCAGACUGGGCUGUUUAGUGUGGUUGUUCAGAUCAUCAUCCUCACUUCUAGGCUUUUGGCUCCUUAAUUGAUUGUGAAUGACAGAGGUAAACUCUAGAUAAGUGAUACAUGGGUUCAGAAUGUUGGGGAUUUUCUAGUAUUCUAUAGAAAUAGGAUCUAAAAUGUCUUAGCAAUCUCUUCUCUGGGAUGAAGUGUUUUAGUAGGUGCCAUCCUAAAUUUAAAGCCUGUUACUUUUCUUUUCAUCUCCCCUUUUCAUUUCCUUUAUCAGGAUAUCAAUAUCCUUAGCACAAGAUUCUAUAAAUAAAAUACUUCAUUCACUUAUUAACCUUUUCUCAAACUUUAGGUAAGGUAGCAGUAUUCCCCCCCCCACCCCACCAACAUAUUAAAUAAGUAAACACACAUUGAUAUCCAAUCUUGAAAAAAUUGCCAUAAAAAUAUAUUACUGGUGGCACUAAAACUGAAAUAAGACUCUCUGAACCCCCCUCACUUAAAAUCCUUGCCUGGCUGUUUCUAUUCAUCCUAAACAAU